rnacentral:rRNA from 1 species
AACUUUCAACAACGGAUCUCUUGGUUCCCGCAUCGAUGAAGAACGCAGCGAAACGCGAUAGUUAAUGUGAAUUGCAGAAUUCAGUGAAUCAUCGAGUCUUUGAACGCACAUUGCGCCCAUUGGUAUUCCAUUGGGCAUGUCUGUUUGAGCGUCA